CAGCCGCCGCGGUAAUACCGGCGGCCCGAGUGGCGGCCACUAUUAUUGGGCCUAAAGCGUCCGUAGCCGGGCUGGUAAGUCCCCCGGGAAAUCUGGCGGCUUAACCGUCAGAAUUCCGGGGGAUACUGCCAGCCUAGGGACCGGGAGAGGCCGGGGGUAUUCCCGGGGUAGGGGUGAAAUCCUGUAAUCCCGGGAGGACCACCUGUGGCGAAGGCGCUCGGCUGGAACGCGUCCGACGGUGAGGGACGAAGGCCAGGGGAGCAAACCGGAUUAGAUACCCGGGUAGUCCUGGCUGUAAACGAUGCGGACUUUGUGUCGGACAAGCUAUGAGCUUGUCCGGUGCCGGAGGGAAACCGUUAAGUCCGCCGCCUGGGGAGUACGGCCGCAAGGCUGAAACUUAAAGGAAUUGGCGGG
rnacentral:rRNA from 1 species